UAUUUUGUUUAAUUAACAACAAAAACAUUGUCAAAAAGUUCAUGGAAAAUACCAUUACAUUUUACAAACUGUUACCAUUUCAAAAUGUGGUACUUAUUGUAUGUGCACCAAGCAUGCUUACAUUGGAGUCACGGUCACCAGCUUGUAGUGCAAACACAGUUUAAUUAUAGGGUUCUACCAUUCUUGCAAAAAGCAAAGCCUGAUGAGAUCAUGUUACCUAUAGUUUCUUUUUCUGAAAGCAGGAUCUCACUAAUUUGUUUAUAUACUAAGGUUCAUUACUUACAGGUGACAAAAAUGUAAACAAAGCUCAGACACAAGCUAUUACAGACCCAAUCUCGUUUCCCGAGCCUGCGAUCCUCGGGAAGGAACGUGAGGCUCUGGGAUAAUCUGUUGCCAGAAGCCAGGAAUCCUGGCUAAGAUUGAACUGCGCAUCCAUUUCAAUGGCCAAUUUCGGCCAAUCAGAUUCCUCCCUGAAACAGAUUAUCCCAGAGCCUCGCGUUCCUUCCCGAGGAUCACAGGCUUGGGGAACGAGAGUGUUACAGACCGGUAGACAGUACCACACUUUAUUUACUUAAUUAUGAGUUGUGCAUUAAAAC
rnacentral:lncRNA from 1 species